UGAGUUUGAUCCUGGCUCAGGAUAAACGCUGGCGGCGCACAUAAGACAUGCAAGUCGAACGGAAGUCGUCAAAAUGAUUCUGAUAUGGAUAUGAAGAUUUAUCAGAUUUGAAAUUGAAGUUGAUUUAUGACAAUGGCUUUAGUGGCGGACUGGUGAGUAACGCGUAAGCAAUCUGCCUAUUAGAGGGGAAUAACAGUGAGAAAUCAUUGCUAAUACCGCAUAUGCCAUAGUUAUCGCAUGAUAAUAGUGGGAAAGGAGUAAUCCGCUAAUAGAUGAGCUUGCGUCUGAUUAGUUAGUUGGUGGGGUAACGGCCUACCAAGACCACGAUCAGUAGCCGGACUGAGAGGUUGAACGGCCACAUUGGGACUGAGAUACGGCCCAGACUCCUACGGGAGGCAGCAGUCGGGAAUAUUGCGCAAUGGAGGAAACUCUGACGCAGUGACGCCGCGUAUAGGAUGAAGGUUUUCGGAUUGUAAACUAUUGUCGUUAGGGAAGAUAAAAGACAGUACCUAAGGAGGAAGCUCCGGCUAACUACGUGCCAGCAGCCGCGGUAAUACGUAGGGAGCAAGCGUUAUCCGGAUUUAUUGGGUGUAAAGGGUGCGUAGACGGGAAGACAAGUUAGUUGUGAAAUCCCUCGGCUUAACUGAGGAACUGCAACUAAAACUAUCUUUUCUUGAGUGCGGGGAGAGGAAAGUGGGAAUUCCUAGUGUAGCGGUGAAAUGCGUAGA
rnacentral:rRNA from 1 species